GUUUCUCUUCCUCCCGGAGUCCGUCCCAUCACUUGUAAGUGGGUCUACAAGGUUAAGACUCGCUCCGAUGGUUCUCUUGAGCGUCACAAAGCUCGUCUCGUGGCUCGUGGUUUUCAGCAGGAGCAUGGUCGUGAUUAUGACGAGACUUUUGCUCCUGUGGCCCAUAUGACCACUAUUCGUACACUUCUUGCUGUUGCCUCUGCACGCCACUGGUCUAUAUCUCAGCUUGAUGUUAAGAAUGCCUUUCUUAAUGGUGAGCUGCGUGAGGAGGUGUACAUGCAGCCACCACCUGGGUAUUCUGUUCCUGAUGGCAUGGUGUGUCGUCUUCGUCGCUCUCUCUAUGGCCUUAAGCAAGCCCCUCGCGCCUGGUUUGAGCGUUUUGCUUCUGUGGUCACUACUGCUGGUUUUUCAGCAAGUGCUCAUGAUCCCGCAUUGUUUAUUCACCUUUCUCCUCGUGGCCGGACUCUUCUUCUUCUCUAUGUUGAUGAUAUGGUCAUCACUGGGGAUGACCCCGAGUAUAUUGCCUUUGUAAAGGCCCGUCUUAGUGAGCAGUUUCUUAUGUCUGAUCUUGGACCUCUUCGCUAUUUUCUUGGGAUUGAAGUCUCUUCUACCUCUGAUGGCUUUUUUAUAUCCCAGGAAAAGUAUAUCCAGGAUCUUCUUGCUCGUGCUGCUCUUUCUGACGAGCGCACUGUUGAGACUCCUAUGGAGCUCAAUGUUCACCUCCGUGCUACUGAUGGUGAUCCUCUCCCUGACCCGACGCGUUAUCGUCAUCUUGUUGGCAGUCUUGUCUAUCUAGCUGUCACUCGUCCGGACAUCUCUUAUCCGGUUCAUAUUCUGAGUCAGUUUGUUUCUGCUCCCACAUCGGUUCAUUAUAGUCAUCUCCUUCGUGUUCUCCGAUAUCUUCGGGGCACGAUCUCUCACCGUCUCUUCUUUCCUAGCUCCAGUUCUUUACAGCUUCAGGCCUAUGCGGAUGCUACGUGGGCUAGUGAUCCUUCUGAUCGCCGUUCGCUUUCUGCUUACUGUGUUUUUCUUGGCGGUUCUCUCAUUGCCUGGAAGACGAAGAAACAGAUUGCAGUUUCCCGUUCGAGUGCUGAGGCUGAGUUGCGAGCUAUGGCUCUUUUGACG
rnacentral:rRNA from 1 species